AACCUAAUUCCACAUCAGUUCCUGAAAUUUAUGCUAGUCCAACUGAGAAAGCAAUACUUUCCUGGGCUGUGAUGGAUUUGGGCUUGAAUAUUGACGAACCAAAACAAAGUUGUGAACAUAUCCAUGUUGAGGCCUUCAAUUCAGAGAAAAAAAGAAGCGGAGUUCUAAUAAGGAGAAGCAAUGACAGAGUGCUAGCAACUCACUGGAAGGGAGCUGCUGAAAUGAUACUAGCCAUGUGUUCAUAUUAUUAUGACAAAAAUGGGAUAUCAAAUUCCAUGAAUGAUGAAGAAAGGAUGCAGAUUGGAAAGGUUAUUGAGAGUAUGGCAGAUAAAAGCUUGAGGUGUAUUGCCUUUGCACACACAAAUGUUAUACAAGAAAAUGAACAGAUUUCUACAAAGCUUGAAGAAACAGGACUGACGUGGUUGGGGCUUGUUGGCCUGAAGGACCCAUGUCGGCCAGGUGUCAAAGAAGCAGUAGAAUCUUGCAAAAAAGCGGGAGUAAACAUCAAAAUGAUCACCGGAGACAACAUGCAUACAGCAAAGGCCAUAGCUUUUGAAUGUGGAAUUCUCGAUUCUCAUGACAAUUUGCACGAUGAAGCGGUAGUAGAAGGUGUACAAUUCAGAAAUUACUCACCUGAAGAAAGAAAGAAAAAGGUUGAAAAUAUCCUAGUAAUGGCAAGAUCAUCACCUUUUGACAAACUUCUAAUGGUACAGAGCUUGAAGAAGAAUGGC
rnacentral:lncRNA from 1 species